GGGGGGGUAUGCACCAUAUUGGAUUUGUUGCUGAUAUAUAACGAGUGAUUUGGCCGAUAACUUUGUUUCCAUCCUCAUGUCAGUGAUCAUCAUCAAGUCUCUUCUGUAGAUGAAUUAACAUCAUAUUAUACACACAGACUGUGAUGGUGACGGCCCACCAGCAGGUGGAGACAUGAAACACUGUUCAGUGUCUGUAACAUUCAUUCACUGUGCUGAAGAAGAAAAGGACCGGAUCAGAAAUAUUGACAGUGGUGUUAAUGUGUGGAUGACAGAACAUGUUCUGCUCUGGGGACAGUUUCCAGCAGCUUCUGGAGGAGGUCCCAUCAGAACUGAAUAAAUUCAACAUGUGGUUUGAUUCAAACUAAUUCUCAUUAAAUCUGAGCAAAACCAGACGAAUGCUGUUUGGAAACGGAAAUCUAAAUACACAAGCAUUUAUUAAGAGAGAACAGAGGAUGUGAACAUAAAUCUCUUGGUGUGAUAACAGAGCUCAGAAUCUGCUGGAGACCACAGACAGCAUAUGUUGGGGCCACAAUUAAAAAAUGGUGACUUCAUGUAAAUAGAUGCAGUUUUGUUGUUUGGACACAGGGUGGCGCACUAGAGCAGGAAAAGGCAGGUGAUAUGGGUAAGGUGCAGGUGAUGAGCAGCAGGUGUGUGACGGGGCAAGCAAACAGUUUUUUGAAGGUGAAGUGUGGCAGCAUGAAGAGUUUGGAUGGAGACUUGGACACUGAGCUGUGACACACUCAAACUGUGAAGUGGAAACCUACCUGAGAUUAACAGUGUUUACCUGGAAAUAAAUGAGUCACCGCACUCUAAGAAACCUGAUGAUGAAGUGGACGCUGGUUUCUUGUUGUUGCCCAGAACGUUCCCCUCAGAGCCUUGAAGCUAACGCUUGUUAUUCAAAGACUUUACAGCAUAGUGAACACAGUGUGUUACAGACACACAGUGGAUCACACAGCUCUGUAAUGUUCUCUGAUAUCACCGCCAGGAAGGGCAGUAUUUCUAUUACAUGUAUUUAAAAUAUGUAUUUCAGUUACAUUUGAGUGUUUUGUAAUUAGUAUUUCAUGAGGCCGAUAAAAAGCAAAUGUAAUUUGUAACAAAAUACUUUCUCCAUGAAUCAAAAAACAAAAAUAAUGGAAACAUAUUCUCAUAAUAAUAAUAUUGGAUGUUACAAUAUAUAUAUUUUUUUUUUACUUAUUUUCUUCUUAAUAUUUUCAUCUAUAUGUUGUUUUUAAACUUGGGCCAUUCAGUGACCUCGUGGUCUGUUUCACUGGACUGUGCAUCACAUAGGAAACUGUAUGUUGUUGUGGUUGAUGCUUGGGAUGAGUCUGCUACAAAUGAACUGCCUCACGUGGGAUCAAUAAAGUUGUCUGAAUCUAAAUCUGAAUCAAUAAAUAAUAUUUUAGGGUAGCCUACAUGUCCCUAGCUUUCUUUUCUCUUUGUCAUUUGAAAGCGUUGAACACAGGCUCCAAGUUAGACAGCAAACAAGUGAACUAGCUACAGUAGCUACAGUGUCUUGCUGCUGUUCAGCUCGACCGUUGGUGGACAGUUCACAGCACAGCUAGACUGGACUUGCAGGCAUGCUGCUCACGUGCAUGGACCCACACUACCAGUAGACUACCCUGCUGCUCACGUCUUCCAAGUUCAACAGAUUGUCUGUCAAGAUCUGCCAGCUCCCGCCAUCUGCAGGAAUUCUGGAAACAGACUGAACCUGCGACGAAGAGAACGGUGCGUGCUCGGACACAGACAUCCACUUCCACCACAGCAGCAGCUCCGGACCAGGUCCUGCUGAUCCACCUUGUCGACCGGCCAUGAGUAGCAUUAAGACAAGGACCUGUCUCACACCACCCACCAACAGGGCCGAUGCCUUUAUUCCACUGACUGACGAGCUGUUCCUGUUCUUGGUGUACCUGUCACUGGGUCUGAAGGAGAAGGAUCUGGGUGAUCGGUCCAACAUUCAUCAGUCCACCGUCAGCAGGACAAUCAGGACAUGUAGGGAUACAGACGUCUCCUGAGGCAAGCAGAGCCAAUAUGUCGAGUUUGUUCGGCAAGUACUCAGACACCCAAGUCAUAGCUGACUGUACAGAGAUGAGAACAUGUCAGGUGCCUUCAUAUUUACUCUGACAGAGUGAGAUGUACUCACAGUAUAAAUCCCACCCUGCCCUGAAGGCACUGGUUGGUAUGUCACCGCAUGGUGCUGUAACUUUUAUUUCCUUGUUGUAUUCAGGCUCAGUCAGGGACGAGGAAUUGUUCAGGGAAUCUGGCAUUAACCCUCUUUUGGACAGAGACAUGACUGUAACGGUGGAUAAGGGAUCCAGAUUUGAUGACCUGCAAGGUUGAUGAAGUGCUGCUCACUCAGGACACUGCAUGCAGAGAGGACGAAUCAAAGACAACAAACUGUUGGACACAGUUAUCCCUCUCAACAUCACCGGCAGCAUCAACCAGCUUUAUGCGGCAACCUGCCUCCUGUCAAACUACAUCAACAAGCCACUGGUCAAAGCUUGGGCCAAACAAAUGUGUUACUGUUGGCCAAAUCUACAGAGCCAGUGUCUGAUUAUUUGCACACUGAAAUCCAUUUUGUGCUUUGAUACCUGGUCGUUGUUGUUUGUUUCUAUUUAAUUUAAACAAGAACGGAAUUCUGUGAUGUUGCAGGUCUGAUGUACACACUCUAUAUAUCUUCACUACGUAGGUGUCGGCUGUACUUUGACUGAUUUAAUUUGUCAAAGUUCAAACUAUCAAAUCAGAAAA